ACUAGGAUUAGAUACCCUACUAUAAAAUAAAUCAAUUAAUAUAGUACUACCUGAAAUCACAAAAUUAAAGAAAAUUGGCGGCUUUUUUAAAAUCUUAGAGGAAUUUAUUCUAUAAAGGAUUUAACACCAAAAUCUUACUUAACUUUGUAUUAAACAGUUUGUAUACCUCUAUAAAUUUAAUAAAUUAUUUUAUUUAACCCUCUUUUUUAAGAAAAAAAUUAAGUCAAGGUGCAACUAAUAUUUAAGAAUGAAAUAAAUUAUAUUAAUUUAUAAUUUUUCUAUUAUAAAAGAUUAAUAAAAUUUUAAAAGAAAAAUUUAAAAGUAAAUUUAUAUAUAUGUAGUAUAUUUGAAUCUUUCUAAUAAGUGUACAUAUUGCCCGUCACUCUUUAUUUAUAAAGAUAAGUCGUAACAUAGUA
rnacentral:rRNA from 1 species